rnacentral:lncRNA from 1 species
UGCUAGGCCAGAUCUAGCCACCAGGGGGCAAAAAAGCGGCCCCUCGGUCGGUGUCCCUCCACGUCCCCACCCACACACACCUGAGGGCCAAGAUGGGCGGUGCCUCACCUGGCUCUCACUCGGAGUCGGCUAGCUCCGUUAACCCCUUCCUGCCUGGCCUGGUUUACUUUGCUCGGGCAGAGCCAUUCAGAGCCGAACUGGAAGGCAAAUCUGAUGGCGCAGGGGGUGUUGCCCGAGAAAGGGGCUAGGGUGGAGGUGAAGUCAGGGUUUCCAGUGACUCAGGCCCCUGUUCCAGCCGGGGCUGGCGGAGGCUACCAUUCCCUGCCUCAGUUGGGCAGCUACCUCCGCAGAAAGGUGAAGGAGCCCCCUGGAGGCAAAAGAGGCACGGGUUGCGGUCACCCGCGCUGGGCCUCACAGAGGAUACAGAGAAUGCUGGGGCAGCCACAGAACCCAGACUUCCGGGUUCUCACGAGCCUUCUGUCGGCCGGGGACCUUUGUAACGACUGGUGGGUCGGGUAGUGGGGGGAGGGCAGCCGAAGAGUGGAGGGAGAGACACAGAGGACUGGGGUGGCGGGAGUGUAGACGGUUAAGAUUUGGCAGCAGAAUGGGCCAGAUUACGCAGCUCUCGGGUGCCGGGUUUUGUGUAUCUCUCCUCGAGUACCAGGCAACCUUCCAGGGCUCUGACCAGCCCAGAUCCCGAGACUGCGUUCCGGGCCACAAGGUGUUAAACAGUGGUGGGAGUGGGGUCCGGAGUCUCCUCCCUCCUCCCUCCCAGCGUCACCACCUCGGAGUCCACCAGGCUGGCACUCAAGGAGUUAAGUCUGCCCGCAAUCUGCAAGACUGGAGCCGGGGAGGGGGAGGAGGGGGGGGCGAGGAGAGGGGGAGUGGAGGAGAAGGGGGAAACAGACUGCAGGGAGACAGCGCCAGGAACCCCCUCCCCAGGGACCUGGCCCCUGGGCCCCCAGCCCCAAAAGAGGCCCUGCCCUCCCCGGGGUCGUGCUCUCUUCCCCCGCCCUGCCUCCGCCCUCCAGCUUUGUGUCCCCAGGAGGGUGGGCUGCAGGAUUUCCAGCCAAGCCUUGGCUGCCUGCUCAGUUUUUCCAAACCCUCCAGUCGGGGAAGGCGGGAGCCCUGUCAGGAUAAGAGUCCCUCCCCCACUGCCCCUGCCGGCCCCCUCACCCAGGCUCCUUUUUCCUGCCCCCGCACCUUUCCCAAACUUCUUUCCCUUUCCACCCUGGCCCCUGCGCCCCCUAUCCCCACCUCUUUUGGCUCCCAAGUUCCAAGUUCAGGUUCGAGGGGCCAGGUGGGUCCCACAAUCCCGGCGAGGCGCUGGUAAAGCCAAACUCUGCAGGCCGACACUGAGACCUGCUGGGCGCCCGCCCGACUCCCAGCCUGGCGCCCGCCCCAUCCCAAGACGUGGCCCCAGGUCCACCGGGGAAGGUGGCCCAGGGGUCUCCCGCCCGGGGGUGGAGGUGGUGCUGGGGGAGCCGGCAGAGCUGGGCAGCGGGCUCUGGUGCGGCUGGUGCCAGACCUUGGGGCACGCUUCGAGGAGGGGGCAAAGUGUUCCGAGCGCUGGCACGGUUCUGUCCAGCAGGUCUAUUAUAUAAUAAUCACCAUCUAUCAGGAAGCCAGGCAGCUGGAGUGAGUGGGGAAGCCAGGAUGCCCGGAUCUGCUCUUCCUCCAGGCCCAGGAAGGUGUCUCCACCAAG